rnacentral:rRNA from 1 species
UACGGAGGGUGCAAGCGUUAAUCGGAAUUACUGGGCGUAAAGCGCACGCAGGUGGCUGAGUCAGUCGAUUGUGAAAGCCCUGGGCUUAACCUGGGAAUUGCAGUCGAUACUACUCAGCUAGAGUAUGGGAGAGGGCAGUGGAAUUCCCGGUGUAGCGGUGAAAUGCGUAGAUAUCGGGAGGAACAUCAGUGGCGAAGGCGGCUGCCUGGACCAAUACUGACACUCAGGUGCGACAGCGUGGGGAGCAAACAGG